CUCUAAGGCUAAAUACUCGUGAUCGACCGAUAGUGAACCAGUACCGUGAGGGAAAGGCGAAAAGAACCCCUGUGAGGGGAGUGAAAUAGAACCUGAAACCGUAUGCGUACAAGCAGUGGGAGCACCUUCGGGUGUGACUGCGUACCUUUUGUAUAAUGGGUCAGCGAGUUACUUUGACGAGCAAGCCUAAGCCGUUAGGCGUAAGCGAAGCGAAAGCGAGUCUGAAUAGGGCGACGUAGUUAGUAGUAGUAGACGCGAAACCCGGUGAUCUACCCAUGAGCAGGUUGAAGUUCCAGUAACAUGGAAUGGAGGACCGAACCCGUUGACGUUGAAAAGUCUUGGGAUGACUUGUGGGUAGGGGUGAAAGGCCAAUCAAACCAGGAAAUAGCUCGUACUCCCCGAAAUGUUUUUAGGAACAGCGUGGAGGUAAAGUCUGUUAGAGGUAGAGCUACCGAUAGGACUAGGGGGAGUCAAAUCCUACCAAAUCCUGAUGAACUCCGAAUGCUAAUAGAUAUACUCCGCAGUGAGGGUAAGGGUGCUAAGGUCCUUAUCCGAGAGGGAAAGAACCCAGACCUUCAGCUAAGGUCCCAAAGUGUAUACUAAGUUGAACUAAGGCGGUCCAGUUGCAUAGACAGCCAGGAUGUUGGCUUGGAAGCAGCCAUUCAUUUAAAGAGUGCGUAACAGCUC
rnacentral:rRNA from 1 species